UGAAGUCGAGAAAUGAAGAAGACUGAUUAUUUAUAUUUAUUUCACGGCUGUAAUAUGUAAUAUGUAACCACGAUAACUUCUGAACUUCAAAAUCGAACCUCUCUCAUUACAUGUGUUGCUACCUUUUAUUCCACGUUUACUCAUUUGGUGGCUU
rnacentral:ribozyme from 1 species